AGGGUUUGAUCAUGGCUCAGGACGAACGCUGGCGGCAUGCCUAACACAUGCAAGUCGAACGAGAAAGUUCCUUCGGGAGCAAUUAAAGUGGCGCACGGGUGAGUAACGCGUAGACAAUCUGCCCUUCAGUCUGGGACAACUUUUCGAAAGGAGAGCUAAUACCGGAUAACAAUGCAUGGCACAAGUUGUAUAUUUGAAAGCUUUAUGUGCUGAAGGAGGGGUCUGCGUCCCAUUAGCUAGUUGGUAAGGUAAAGGCUUACCAAGGCAACGAUGGGUAGCGGGUUUGAGAGGACGAUCCGCCACACUGGAACUGAGACACGGUCCAGACUCCUACGGGAGGCAGCAGUGGGGAAUAUUGCACAAUGGAGGAAACUCUGAUGCAGCAAUGUCGCGUGAGCGAAGAAGGCCCUUGGGUCGUAAAGCUCUUUUAUGGGGGAAGAUGAUGACGGUACCCCAAGAAUAAGCACCGGCUAACUAUGUGCCAGCAGCCGCGGUAAUACAUAGGGUGCGAGCGUUGUUCGGAAUUACUGGGCGUAAAGGGCGCGCAGGCGA
rnacentral:rRNA from 1 species